rnacentral:rRNA from 1 species
UAGGGAAUCUUCGGCAAUGGACGGAAGUCUGACCGAGCAACGCCGCGUGAGUGAAGAAGGUUUUCGGAUCGUAAAGCUCUGUUGUAAGAGAAGAACGAGUGUGAGAGUGGAAAGUUCACACUGUGACGGUAUCUUACCAGAAAGGGACGGCUAACUACGUGCCAGCAGCCGCGGUAAUACGUAGGUGGCAAGCGUUGUCCGGAUUUAUUGGGCGUAAAGCGAGCGCAGGCGGUUCCUUAAGUCUGAUGUGAAAGCCCCCGGCUCAACCGGGGAGGGUCAUUGGAAACUGGGGAACUUGAGUGCAGAAGAGGAGAGUGGAAUUCCAUGUGUAGCGGUGAAAUGCGUAGAUAUAUGGAGGAACACCAGUGGCGAAGGCGACUCUCUGGUCUGUAACUGACGCUGAGGCUCGAAAGCGUGGGUAGCAAACAGGAUUAGAUACCCUGGUAGUCCACGCCGUAAACGAUGAGUGCUAAGUGUUGGAGGGUUUCCGCCCUUCAGUGCUGCAGUUAACGCAUUAAGCACUCCGCCUGGGGAGUACGACCGCAAGGUUG